rnacentral:rRNA from 1 species
GAUGAACGCUGGCGGCGUGCCUAAUACAUGCAAGUCGAGCGAACAGAUAAGGAGCUUGCUCCUUUGACGUUAGCGGCGGACGGGUGAGUAACACGUGGGUAACCUACCUAUAAGACUGGAAUAACUCCGGGAAACCGGGGCUAAUGCCGGAUAACAUUUAGAACCGCAUGGUUCUAAAGUGAAAGAUGGUUUUGCUAUCACUUAUAGAUGGACCCGCGCCGUAUUAGCUAGUUGGUAAGGUAACGGCUUACCAAGGCAACGAUACGUAGCCGACCUGAGAGGGUGAUCGGCCACACUGGAACUGAGACACGGUCCAGACUCCUACGGGAGGCAGCAGUAGGGAAUCUUCCGCAAUGGGCGAAAGCCUGACGGAGCAACGCCGCGUGAGUGAUGAAGGUCUUCGGAUCGUAAAACUCUGUUAUUAGGGAAGAACAAAUGUGUAAGUAACUGUGCACGUCUUGACGGUACCUAAUCAGAAAGCCACGGCUAACUAGGUG